GUGGGAAAAGAGGAUUUGUUCAUAGACACUUCAGGCUACACUGACACCCGACAAACGUAGAGAUCUGUGAUGUAGUGGUUAGCGACACAGCCUUUCACGUGGGCGCCUGAUCGAAUCUCAAGAGGGCAAUACUUUCUAUUGCGUUCUGGCUGAACUAGGCAUGCCUGGUUUCUUGCUAUAACCCCAGGAAUGGUUACAUAUAAACCAAGCGAGGAAGUAGGUCUUAAACUCUGUAUUUCAUUUAUUAACAGGAGCCCAUUAACACCAGUCUACAUGAUCACUUUCCACUGCUGGAACAUUCCAGAACUCCAAAACAUAAACAAAUACCUAGCUUCAACACCUGGGGCCCGUUCUUCGUACGUCGCUAACUCAGUUAGCUGGAUUUGAUUGUUGACGAUUUGGCAUGAUCUUGGAUCGUUUGGUUCUUCGAAGCUCAUCCUAGACUUGCUGUCAUAGCAACAGGUCCGUAAGCUUAUUUCAUGUAAACAGGAUUAGAUUGAGGCUUUAUAAGCGGAGGAGAUAGGGAAGUCUGUCAAAGCCAUGUCUUGUCCGUUUUUACGCGAGCAACCUGUUGCGGAAGGUGGGAGAAUAAUUCGCAGAGCUUUUCAAAUUAAAUCGGGUAUUGCGGGAUAGACAGGAUCCUUUAGCCCAGCGCGAAAGUAUAAUUGUUGAGAGAUACCGUUUUU
ensembl:lncRNA